rnacentral:hammerhead_ribozyme from 1 species
AUCCAACUGACGAGUGUCAAAAUAGGAUGAAAUGUGUGUCCUGGAU